rnacentral:lncRNA from 1 species
AGACAGAGCAAGACCUUGCCUCAAAAAGAAAAAAAAAGAGAAAAAAAAGAAAUGCAUAUUAAAACUAUGCUGAAAUAUUGUUCCUUACCCAUGAAAUUGGCAAAUUCCAAAGCUUAAUAGUAGGCUCUGUUGACAAGGCUAAGUGAAACAGACUAGAGGGAAUGCAAGACUUGUCUAUCUCUUAUGGAAGAAAAUUAGGCAAUAAUUAAUAAAUAUUCAUUAACUCAUUAAUAUUUAUUUAACUUUUGAUUUAGCAAUCCUAUUUCUAGUGUUUAUCCUUAAGAUAUGCCAUUAGUAUUACUAAAAAGUAUAGAUAAAGUUAUUCACUACAACAUUCUAACAUAUUCAAGACAUAAAAUAAGGCUGGAAACAAGGGAAAAAAUUUAAACUGAAUGCAAAAACUAAAUCAAGGUAUUUUCAAAUGAAAUCACAUUGAGGGAUAAGAAAAGGAAAAAUCAGGCAGACAGCUAAGGCUAGUCCUUGGAGAAAUAGCCUGAAAAAUCACAGCUACAGGCACAAACAGAACAACCUGGGGAAAAACUAAACUGCAACUACACUAAUAAGAAAGCAAGGCCCAACAGAGAAGCCUUUUUUCCUUUGUGUGAUUAGCGGGCUUCCAGGAAAAAGGUUCCUCCCCUUUUCAGGCAUAUACAUGGUAGGCUCUGUGGGAACCUGCAAAGGAAUGGGGGUGGGCUUACCUGAAACAGACCUGCAGUUAAACAAACAAGAGAAGCUUCACUUUGUGCUUACCCAAGACAUACCCACAGCUGCAGAGAUAAGGAGAGUUACACAAAUAGCUACAGAGAUGAGGGGAGUUUCUUAUAAAAGCUUUUGGAUUCAACUGUAAAAACAGCAACCCACUCAGGCCCCCUCUCCACUACAAAGAGCUUUCUUCUUUCACUUAUUAAACUUUGACUCCAACCUCCCCCUUGCGUCCAUGCUCCUUAGUUUUCUUGAUUGUGAGACAAGGAGCUCGGAUAACACCUCAGACAACGAGACCAUUCACCCCAGACCAUUUCAACAUCAAAGAAGGAGAAACAACAAAAACAACAGUGAACUAAUUGUAUCUCCAUCUGCUGAAGUACUUCCAUUGGCAUGGAUGAAAAUGUCAGUUGAGUGAAUUCCAGGCAAUUCUCCAAGUUAUCUCAUCAUCCUCAGAAAGCAAAUUCAGCAAGUAAGUAGAUGCUAGUGAUGCAUCUGUAACAACAAAGAAAGAUGUGGUAGAGGGGGAAGGAGCACUGAAUUCAUGAAAACAAGUUCCUUGGAGGAUUGAUAAAGGAAGAUGAUAGUAUUUCUACUCUGUCAGGGUAAUUCAAAAGCAUAUUUUUAAAUUUGUUACUACUUCUUGAACUUUACUAUGUGCCAGAACUAGGUGAUUUAUAUACAUAGCUCAUGUAAAACUUAUCAUGAGAUGCUAAAGAGCUUCCACUUAAAGGAAUUCAAAUUCUUGCUGAUUUUUAAUGAUGACCACUUUUGUUCAUUGCUAAUCUUCCUGUCCUUCAUUUUCUUCAGCCCUUCCCACUACUGCACCCUAAUCUUUAAAAAGCAAAACAAAUAAACAAUAACAAAAGUACUGACUUCAUAUGACUGCUAAAGGAAAAGUGAUGAUAUUGAAUUUGAUCUAUCAUCUUAAUAUUACUAAUUUAUAUUACCUAUUUAAAAUGUUACAGUAGCUCCCUCUAGUUUACAAAGCACUUUAGAAUACAUUAGCUAACUCAAUCCUCAAAAACGCCUGUGAGAUAGAUUUUAUAUAUCCCAUGGAGCUGAGGCUAAGAGGAAAUUGAGCAACUUUCUCAUUUAGUUGAGUGGCAGGCCUAUGUCUAAACCCAAGACUUCUCACUCUGCAUUAAGAGCUUUUCUUUAUCCUAUUUUAGUCACAGGUAGGCUCGACUAACCCAGGAAUGUGCUAUAUCAAUGUACUUGAAAAACAGAAACACCUAACACCUAGAUCUUAGUUUCUAUCACCAUCCUCUACCAUUUUCCAUAACCAGGACUCCUUGAAGAAAUCACCGAUUAUAUAAUUGGAGCAGGGAAAAUACAAGAUUAACUUGGAGUAUCUAAUAAUACUAGAAAGUAAGGGAGUACUCAAAAAACAAAAGGAUAGGGGAGUGACAAAAGAAGACAGGACUUUGGGUCUUUGGUCUUUGGGCUUCCAAUGGCCAAAGCUGGAACAAUUUGAGCAACAAAAUGAAUAAUGCAUAUAAAAUAAAUAUCCAUGAGUGCAUAUUGAUAUAAAUAACUGAAUAAAUAAGUAUGUGAGUAAAUGGGGAAGAAGACCCAAAUCCCCCUUACAUAAGAAUAAUGGACUUAUAUGUCCCCCUUCCAGGAGAUGGAAUUUAUUUUCCCUUCCCCCUUGAGUGUAGACUAAACUUAGUAACUUGCUUCCAAGGAGUGGAGUACGGAAAGUAAAUUUAAAAUAGAGUAACCAGGCAAACACUAUCUUCGCCAGGUGACCAAGGUUAACAUCAUUAGUGAUAAGUCACCUUGACAGCAUAUUCCCUUGAUGUGAUGUGAUGAAAAUAGAAGCUUACCUCUGGUCUUUCUCUCAGAAUCCCAUAACCCCAGCCUAAUAUGAGAAAAACACCAGACAAAUUCCAUUUGAAGGAUAUUCUACAGAAUAUCUAACCAGCACUCUUCAAAACUGCCAAGGUCAUGAAAAACAAGAAAGAAAAGAAACACAGAUGUGAUGAAUGAAGAAAAAUACCAGUUGAGUCACCUAACCAGUACUGAAAAAGUUAAGUUUCAAAAUACGGAAUCACAGGAAGAUGAAAAGGUUCUGAAGCAUUUACAAUUUUAUAAGCUUUCUUCGGGGUAAAACUUAUGUUUAAAACUUGCCAUGCAGGAUGUCUUGCAGCCCCACCACAAAGAAGAUUCAGUGGAGCUGAACAAGCUCACUACCAAGCCACUGAAAAGAGGAAAGAAAGUCCAUCUGAGAUCAAAGGUCGCACUUCCCAUUUUUUUCAAGUUCUGCAAAGGUGAUCUGUUUCCCUUUAGUGCACAGGAAAUAAGUGAGAUGUUCUCUAAAAGCCUUUACCUGUUUCACCUUAUACUGUAAUCACUAAAUCCAGAAGACUAACGCAAACUCAUACUUAAAAAGAAAACAAUUAGCCUAGAGCACGUAAUAGAAAUCAGAAGCAUUUGA